CUAGUGGUUAGAGCGUUGGACUAGUAACCAGCAGGUAGCCUAGUGGUUAGAGCGUUGGACUAGUAACCAGCAGGUAGCCUAGUGGUUACAGCGUUGGGUCAGUAACCAGCAGGUAGCCUAGUGGUUAGAGUGUUGGACUAGUAACCAGCAGAUAGUCUAGUAGUUAGAGUGUUGGACUAGUAACCAGCAGGUAGACUAGUGGUUAGAGUGUUGGACUAGUAACCAGCAGGUAGUCUAGUGGUUAGAGCGUUGGACUAGUAACCAGCAGGUAGUCUAGUGGUUAGAGCGUUGGACUAGUAACCAGCAGGUAGCCUAGUGGUUAGAGCGUUGGGCCAGUAACCAACAGGUAGUCUAGUGGUUAGAGCGUUGGGCCAGUAACCAGCAGGUAGCCUAGUGGUUAGAGCGUUGGGCCAGUAACCAACAGGUAGUCUAGUGGUUAGAGCGUUGGGCCAGUAACCAGCAGGUAGCCUAGUGGUUAGAGUGUUGGGCCAGUAACCAACAGGUAGCCUAGUGGUUAGAGUGUUGGGCCAGUAACCAACAGGUAGUCUAGUGGUUA
ensembl:lncRNA